UGGGGAAUAUUGGACAAUGGGCGAAAGCCUGAUCCAGCAAUACCGCGUGUGUGAAGAAGGCCUGCGGGUUGUAAAGCACUUUAAGUUGGGAAGAAAAGCUGUGUGUUAAUACCACAUAGUGUUGACGUUACCAACAGAAUAAGCACCGGCUAACUCUGUGCCAGCAGCCGCGGUAAUACAGCGGGUGCAAGCGUUAAUCGGAAUUACUGGGCGUAAAGCGUACGUAGGUGGCUAAAUAAGUCAGAUGUGAAAUCCUCGAGCUCAAC
rnacentral:rRNA from 1 species